UACGUAGGGGGCAAGCGUUAUCCGGAUUUACUGGGUGUAAAGGGAGCGUAGACGGCAGAGCAAGUCUGAAGUGAAAGCCUGCGGCCCAACUGCGGGACUGCUUUGGAAACUGCCCGGCUAGAGUGCUGGAGAGGUAAGCGGAAUUCCUAGUGUAGCGGUGAAAUGCGUAGAUAUUAGGAGGAACACCAGUGGCGAAGGCGGCUUACUGGACAGUAACUGACGUUGAGGCUCGAAAGCGUGGGGAGCAAACAGG
rnacentral:rRNA from 1 species